rnacentral:misc_RNA from 1 species
UCAGAAAAUUCGUUGGUUGUUUGCUGCGUAGCAAUUUUAAGUGCAAUUAAGUCAUUAAAACUACAAUGCACUACAACACACACAAACCAACAAAUAAGUGACGACAGCAUAACUACGAUAUCGAUACAUUUUCAAGUUGUCAACGAAGCGUGCGCGUAUAAUUUGAAAAAAAGAAUAUAUAAAUAUAUAUCAACGAAUAUUAAUAACCGCUUUAACCGCAACAUCUGCUAUCUUCGACACACUUUUAAGCAAUAUGUAAAUAUUAGCGGCUGAAAAAUCGUUUCUUCACACCGUUUUUUGAAGUAUCGUUUAUUCAACAAUUUCAAAAUAUAAAAAUAAUAAAUAAUAAUACCCUUAAGGUUAACCAAUUAACAAUAUUCCAUUUCUUUUCCCCACUAAAGAGAUUGUAAUCCAGUGUUUUAGUAUUUUUUUUUCAAGCACGCAUAUUGAAAUCCCCUAAAAAUUUCUUUCUCCUCCAUUAAUCACUCACAUAGGUGCAAUAAAAAACCUUAAUAAAAUCAGUAAAUAAUAUAAUAUUAAUUAAAAUCAUUUAAUCUGUUGUGCAAAGUGAUGAGUUUUAAUACAAAAAUCAAAUAAUUUACCAAACGCACCAAGGUGGCAUCACAUUACAACUUACAACUAAUUACAAGCUAACAAAGAAACGUCUUAACUUCAUUCAUACAACGAUUCUGUGAUAUAAGAACCAAAAGAUGAAGUCGUUGACCUUGCAGCUCAUCACGUUACUUCCGUUGCUGUUGUUGUUGUUAUUACCGACACAAUACAGCCAAAACAUGGUUGACGCAGCGGCGGAAGGGGAGCAGAUAACUUCCGCUCACAUUAGUAAGCGUACCACAUCGACAACAACACAACAGCCACCAUCGUUGCGUGCGCCGCGACUCAUGCGCACAGCGCGCCCUACCACGGUGAUGACGCAUCCGACAGCAAGAACAAAAACAACAACCAACAAACCUGCAACACUCAGCACAUCGAAGCAACAGCCAUUGACGCAAGCGGCGCGUCGUGCGGCGUCCAACUUUAAAGCCACUGCAGCAACGACACCGCCAUCAAUACACCGCCCGACACGCGGCGCUGAUGAGAGUGCGCCGACAAAUGUGCGCCAAAAUCGUAGCUUUUUGAGUGCGGCAGCGACGCAGAGCAUACAAAAUGGGAAAGCAGAUGCAGUGGCGCCGGUCGGUAGGAGUGUUGAUGCCAGCAAGACAAACAAACAAAUUGACAGCCGCCAAAUAAAGCGUGUCGCAUACAAGAACAACAAUGCAGGCCAACAACAACAACAACAAGGCAUCAGCAACAAUAGCCAUUAUCAAAAUGUUAGCACCGAUGGAGUGCGCACGAGCGCUGUGACAAGCACAGCUAAAGUGCCGGCAACGGCUUCAUUGUCGCCAUCUGUGACUUCGACAACAACCAUUAGCAGCGGCGCGUCACAUACUACGUCAUCAACUGAUUCCAAAGCAAGCGUUGCGAUGACGAAUCAUCACCAGCAGCCGCCACUCCAGCGCCAGUCAAAACAAAUCGUCAACUUUGCGGCGCGAACCAACGUGCAACGCGAAACGCCAACACUGCAGACAGCCGACAAUGGCGCUGGCACGGCGAAUUCGACGCGUCUGCCGCAGACACCAAAAUCACCACGCAUGAUCCAUCGUCUUGUAGCAGGUCACAUUCAAAAUGCGGAAGGACGUUCCACCUAUCAGGUUUCGGCCAUCACAGCCAACAGCACAACUAGUAAUUCGACAACGCAGAAACCCGGAUAUCAAUACGUGCGCACCAAAGGAGGACAACUGGCCAUGAGCAGUACAUAUCGUUUGACGAAAGUCAGCACAACCGCUGUCACACCAACGCAUACAAUUACAACUACAACGGCGACCCCAUUUCAUAUGAAAACCGAACGCAAAGACACCACAUUGAAUGAUGAUGAUAAUGCAGAUGAUGAAGCGUUGUUGGAAGAUGACGGCGAUUUCGAUAAUUGGGAUAACGGUAUAUUGCGUCUGAGUGCCGGCUCAGGCAAAGAGAACACCGCUAAAUCGAAGAAAAGUAAGGACGAAUCAAAGAAGACACUUUCUGAUCAAGUACGUGAUGGCAAGUAUGGGCUAAUAGAAAAGGAAAUAUUUCGACGACCACCCAAAAGACCCGGUGUUAUUAGUUAUUUACCGAACAAGGAGACACCCAUAGAUAAUGAACGCACAUUUGGUGGUCUCCAUGAAGAGGACAUCUGGCUGGCUGAGGAUCAUUUGCUUGUAAUCAAGGGUGGUAAUCUCAAUGAGGGCGAACCGGAUGAACCGUGGCCUCCCAUCGAUGAUUACGAUGCACCCGGUCGUCAAAUCAAAAUACCACCGAAUCCAAAAGUCCCGCCACCAUUUCCCGUCCAGCUCGAGGAGAAUGGGCCGCUACAGUUUAUCGGAAAUAAUAAAUUCACGGUCGUCUAUCCGAUCGCUAACGAAUCGAUACCAGUUUAUCCCGCCGGCGCGGAAGCCAACUACCCAUCAACCGAAAGUGACAGUGACAACGAGAAAAAUCUUCUUACCCGGCCGGGAUCGACUCAAGAUACUGCGCAAGGCGAACCGGGUUACAACUACCCGGCGCCCUCUCCGCCGUGGCUAUAUCACAACCAAACAUUCGUGAAUCCCUUCUUAAAUAAUGCACGACCCAUUACAUUCCCAAAUUUGGGUCCAUUCACUUUUGCACACAACGGUUCUUUGGACACUUCGAAUGGUACCGAUUACUUCGAUGAAGAUGAUCCUUCAUUGUAUUAUCCGCCCGCAUAUACCUUUGUCUAUAAGAGUAACUACACAAAUCCAGUGCCGCCGGGUCCCUUAGUGCCAGGAAUUGUUCUACCGCCACCCGCCAAUCAAUUUAGUCGUUUAGAGAAACCAGAAAAAUUACAUACGCCUUCAAGACAUCGCGGUUAUGGCACACCUUCACCCACCACGAGUACAACAACCACCACCACAAGUACUACUACUACUUCAACAACUACGACCUCAACCACAACUGAGGCGCCGCAUCGACCAAAAGUUAUUACGAAAAUACAUCAGUAUUCUCCCAAAACGAUUAUCAUUACACCAGAGCCACCGCAUGCCGGACAACAUGUGCAACCGACCAAACAACCGCCACCACCCCCGGCACCCACACCAACUGCGUCACCACCAGAAUUCAUUCAGGCUAUACCUGUGCCAGUGGCAGUUCACAUACCCAUCUUUCCAUCCCACAAAUAUCCGCAAUCGCGUCCGAAUGCCAUCGCUUAUGAACCGACCACACCGCGUAACAAUCAGGAACCACUUUCGAAAUCCAACCCCAUCUAUUAUGAAUAUUUCGAGGCUAAGCGUCAACCUAACGGCGUUACUACAAAUGUUAUCGAUGAUUUCCUCUCCACUACCGAAAAGCCGGUACUGGCUAAACCAAUAAAAUUGUAUGCAACCAGCAAACGACCCUUUAAAUCACAGCCUCAAAAUCAACGCAACUUCUUGCCACCACAACGGCCGUACCUGCCACAAGAUGUGGUCUAUAUCACACCUAAACCGGAAGCGGUGCGCUACAAGCGACCACCACAAGUGCCGAUCGAGCCUACCGUCUACAAACCACGUCCCCUGGAAAACUUUGAAGAGGAGGUGAAUGCGAUACGCGAAACGCUACGCUACUACCAAAAUCAACAGUUGCGCGACAACAACAUACCACGCACACCCAAAGCCAAACCUAUAUAUGAAUUCAAUUUCGAUGCGUCAAAGAAUUUGGAGCCGGUACAACCUACAGCCGGCGCUGAAGACUUCCAACCACCAGCCGAAUAUGAUGAAGCGCCCUUCAAACCAAUGGUCACCUAUAGUCCACCCGUAGACGAUGAGAAUUCUUUCCAAGCCAUUAAUGUAGAGAAGGCGAAUGCGCGUAUACAGCAGCAGCAACAACAGCAAGAAGAACAAUACUCACAACAACAACAGCAACAAGCGCGUUAUCAGUCAACCACCACACUCGUGCCAAUACAACCCGAUACACCUUACCAACAAAUUCCGCCUCUACCACAAGGGCGCUCGAAGAAGUUGCGCUUAGGCGCCAAAUAUUUACAACAAACACCACUGCUGCCCGAAUACCGCUCAGCCGAACCAGAGCUGCGUCAAUACCCAGGUAACCAGCGCACACAUGUCACCACGCAGGCACCUUGGGUCUCAUUGAAUCAACAACAAGAGCUGAAUGAGUAUGCCCAACCGCCGCAGUACCAACGCAUUGAACGGCCACCGGUAGCUUUCGCACCCAAACAACGCGGUUUCAAUGGCUACUACUACGGUGGUCCGGCGCUGCAUGCGCGUCAAAACAACCGCUUCUACGAGGAACCAUUCCAACAGCGGCGCGUCAUCAACUACCGGCAACCACCGCCACCGCCGCCGCCACAGUCUAAUUAUCAGCAGCCACAGCAACAACCACAAACGCUGUGGAGCUUAGAGAACGAUACAUAUGUGAAUUAUGCGCCCAAUCGGCCACCGCUCAAUCCGGACGCGGAAUACAUAAAUCCCUAUCAACCGGCCUUACCGCAAGGUCCUUUUCCGCCGCAAAUACAACGUUAUACAGCGCCACAACAACAACCAGGUCCAGCACUAUCACACCAAGCGCAAUACUAUGCGCCACCACAACUACAACAACAGCAGCGACAGCAACAACAACAGCAACUGCCGCCAGCACGUCAAUAUCAACCGCAAAUUCCGCUGCAUCGUGACAUUUUGGUCAACUACCGACAACCAUUGCCACCCAUCAACCCGGACAGUGAAUACAUAUCACAUCCGCAAGUGGUGCGGCCACAAGCCUAUUCACCGUUAUACCGUGCGAACGGAUUUCAGCGCCUGCCACCACAACUGACGGCCACGGGCGAGCAGGACGGUCUCUAUUACAUAGCGCCGAAAUUUCGACGCUCCAACAAUAGCAACGGCAGUGGUAGAAGCAACAAUGAAAGUAACAGCAACAACAACAACAGUGGCAACAAUAACAACAGUAACAACGACAACAAACAUAACAGUGACGACAGCAGCAACAGCAACGACAGCCAAAGUCAUGGUGAAGAGAGCGGCAAAACGAAUGCCAGCACAAAUACGAAAACGCCAACGCGCAGCAAUAACGGUAAUGUUAAUCACUAAACAAAAAGUGGCGGUGUUAGGAAAAGCGGCAAAGCCUUUUUAUUAUAGCUCUGUUUGAUUUGUGGUGUAAGUGUCAGCGUAAGGCCACGCAGCGCGGGUGUGUCUGGCUGAGUGACUGUUUGAUGGAGUGCUUGAAUAAUUGAAUGAGCACUUUUGCGUUGCUGUGCGUAUAACUGUGCUUUAACGAAUGCCUACCUUAACAGCUUGCGUUGCACCACCUGUAUUUAUUUGCCCGCCAACCUGCCAAUCUACGAAUCGCUCAUUAGUACUAAGCGCACUGCUUAUACUUCGCUAACUAACAGCCGCAGCGAAGUCUAGCGGGCCGUAAGCCGAAUUGUAAGCGUUUCAAGUUGCCACAGCGUCGUUGCUUGUUUGUUGUGGGGCACAUGGGUAGUGGCUGCAACACAUAUUUUGGUGAUUAAAUAUGAGUGCUCGUAUACGUCAACCUAAGCGCUUUUGUUAGCGUAUAUUAUUUCUUUAAUUUAGCGAUAUUUCAAUGACAGUUGCCUUCUGAAUCAAUAAAUUCUAAAUCCAGACAAAUCGGAAAAAAAUACACAACAGCAAAAAAAUUAGAAAAAAAUAUGUGUAAAAAAAUUUCAAAAUUUCUUAAUAAAUAAAAAAAUUCAACCAAACUUAUCCUAGCAAAAUUCUCCUUAGUUAAUAUUAUAUAUUAUGCGUUGUGUCUUUAUUGUAUUUGUCUGCAUUUUGAAUUUAUCGAUUUCAAUUUUUGGAAUUAAAUGCUAAACUCUAAAAUUAUAUUUGUAUUGUUUGCCUCAUGUCUCAUCAUCAUCAUUUAAACUUAUUGCUAAUAUUUUUAUACUAUCUGUACGACCAAUGAUUUUUUUUUAAUAUUUUAGUCGAAACGAGUGAUCUUCUAUUGAAACAAAUCCAUUUUUAUUGUUCGAAAAAUUCUGUAAGAAAAAUAUCAUCACACAUUAUAACCGUUUAUUUACACAAGUUUUGAAUGAAUAUAAUGAGAACUCACAUCACGUUUUAUAGUGCGUUCCAGCUUUCAUAAUAUUUACCUUUCCAAUACUAUUUUCCAUGAGUAAAACUUUCAUAUCUGAUCGCAAGUACUAUAUACAUAACUUUAGGGAAUGGUAAGGGUUUUAAGGUAAAAAAAAAAAAAAAUUCUUUUUAAAAAUAAUAAAAUACAAUUUGCGGUGUUCAUCUUAACUCACUGGAAAUUAUCUGAAAAUAAAAAAACCAAGGAAAUUUGUAAAAUUAUAAUCAAAUUUUUCUCCCAAUGUUCUUUGAUAAUUUUUUUUUCUUUUCAAAAUUUUUGGCCACCAUUUAAAGUGUAAACUCUUAAUUUCUACUAAAAAUUCCGCCAAUUUGUGGGUGAAAUAUAUCCUUAAUGGAAAAAAAAAAAUUAUUAAACGUUGGAGGGAGGGAAAUGAAUCGGUCAAGUAGUUUUGAACACGUACUUCGAAAAAGUAGUUUUGAGAAAACCACGUCUAAAAUUUUUAAACUAAAAAAGAGACGAAAAAAAAUUACUCUAUAUUGUCAAAAGUGUGCUCUAUAUUGUACAAAAGAUCCUACCGUUAAGCGAUAAUCUAAUCUACCAGGCUUCCAAAAUUGCCCAACUAAAAGCUAAAAGCUAUGAAAUAUAUUUAACUUUGAGAAAGCACCACUGUUCGAACAACAUUUCCUCAGCAGCAGUUUUGAUGUAAUUGUAUCAAUAAUCAAUAAUUUUUAUAACUAAUUCGACUCUGAAACAUACUUUUUGUAAUUAAUACGAUUCUGAAUAAGUUAUUAGCUUCUUAGGUUUUAUCAGCACCACUUCAAGUAUUUUCUUAUGCUUCGUAAGUUUUUGAUUUAGGCUGUGGACUGCUUUCUUUCUUAAAACAUUCCGAUCAGCUGCAACUGGUAUCCCAGAAAAA